CUUCGUGGAGUCAAGCGGUCGGGACUCUAAGUAGGGGCGAGGUUCCCAUGGCAACGAGGGGACACUCUUUGCGCCUGCUCAGAGGCGCUAGGCACGCUGGGAAAUGUGGUUUCCGGGUUGUCCAUGGAGGCUAACGGAACGGACGCAAGGUGGCGCCCAAACGUCGCAGUCGAUGUGGCAGGAGGAAGAUGAGUGUUGGGGCCCAAAAUAUGCUAUAGAGCUGGCAUCACUGUCCAGAAGGCAUCUUCACUUUUGGAACAGGCUUGGUCUUGUCCAGUACAAAGCCAGAUACUCUAAGACUAUGAAAACCUGACUAGCCAAAUACCAUAAAGGACAAAAAGAAGACUCUCUCUGGCCUGGUGCCCUGUGAUCCAGCGCAGUGAUGCAGGAGGUCUGGGGACAGCAGCCAAGACCUGGACAGGUUGAGGUGGAUGAGGGCAGCGACCUGCCACCCCUCAAACCUCCUGCAGCUGGGGCUGAGGGUCCUGCCUGCCUUUGGGGGCCAGGGGUUGCCUGGCCUGGCUGGUUCCAGGAAUGAUCUGGGGGGGGAUGGGAGGCACAGGGAUGGGGCAGGAGUGGGGGACAGGAGCCUUCUGCACUGGAAGCUCCGUUUUUAUUCCGUGACUGCAGGUGAAUGUUCAGAGCAAGAACUGAGAAUGAAACUAGGACGCUGUUGCCGCCAGUGGCACCUUCAGUCCCUCUACCGCAUCCCAGUUAGAAAGUCUUGAGCCCCGACAGAUGGACCUGGGUCUGGGACUUAGGGCUGUGGGAGGUGUGGCUGUAGUGACGGGAGGAGCUGAGAAGAAUGGGCGCUGCUGGGGACAGGAGGGGCGUUUCCCUGAGGAGCUGUGGACCCUCGAUUUAGUGUCUAGGAGAACAUGGGUGUGUGUGAGGGCUCAGGCCUCGCCCUCCUCUCCACUGUCAUCCACGCUGGCCUGCCUCACCACCUUCCGGAACCUGGGCGUAGAGGAAAUGCUGGGCUCUCCCUGCCUCUGCUCCUGGAAGGCCUGCGUCCGGCUGGCCACCAGGGCGGCGCUCUGGAGAGCAACCACUGACUGGCGGGACUUCAGGGCCGGCUGCGGCCCCCGGCCCACCUGCUGGCCUCCCUUGGUCCUUGCGAGCUGCAGGAAGGGCUGCGGAGGCUCUUCAUGUGAAGACUCAGGGGAAGAGAAAACCUGGACAGAUGCGAGAAUACAGAUGCCAUGGGAGGCCUUCGCGAGGCAGGGGCACCAAGCAGAGCUGGGAAGAGGAGAGGGGCGGAAUGUUUGCGGCACACAGACCAAGAGCCAAGCUGUUCACAGCCAUGCUUCCCCAGUGGGGAGAACAACACCCCUGCCCUGCUGCCCUGCUCCUUGAAUCCUACCUGCCUAUGGCUUCCUUCUGGCCCCCAGCAGCCCUCCUCAGCUCCCCUGAGACCCAGGCCUCCCUGCCCUCCGCUCCUCCUAUCCUUCCUCUGCCUUUGCGCAGGCAGCCAGCAGGUGAAACCACGCCUGCACCAGCCCCUGACCUGGGCUGGGUGGAUGCGGGUGUCAGUGCUGGGUGAGGACCUCCCGCCUUAAGCAACACACCCACCAACCCACCAUGCCUCCCUAUUCUUCCCCACCCACACCUCCUCCAGGAAGCCUCUCCCAAAUGUUCCUGCCCUCAGUGGACGCUCCUUCUUCCAAGUCAGCCAUUUGGCCUCGAGUCCCACACAGGGCCUGGCUCCCAGUCUUUUGCUUGUGCCCACAGCACUGAGCAUGGAGGGUGCUCACUUAGGCAGGACUUGGGUGGCGUGAGCGCACAAACUCCUCUGCACCUCACCUGCUUGAACGCUUGGAGAUGCUGCUCCUCAGACCCAGGAGAGGCUCCAGAGAUUCAUUUACCCUCCCCUCACCAGGGGGUUAGAGACACCCCCAGGGCCAGCAGGUGGCUGUGGAGCUUGUGGCCUGGGGAGGCAGCCCUGCCCCUUAGACAGCUAGUCCUGUGGUCAGUCUGGAACACGCCUGCAACCCUGGCCGGGGCUGGCUCGCCCAGGAACCCUGGGAACAGGCGCUACCUCCUGCCCUGCCCUGUGGCCCCUCUCCAGCUUGUGCCUGCAGUGCCCCCACCUGCCCUCACCGGGUCUCAGCUGCUCUCAGGAGCCCAGGACAGGGCUGGUCCCUGUCUUCAGGGAUACUCAUGGGAUGGGCUGGAGAUGCCUGGUGCUGAGAGGUAUUAGGCUGACUGUGAAGGGGGCUGGGAGCAGGCCCCCAGGGUCCUCCCAGGACACCCUGCAUGGGUGGGCCAGCCCGAGCCCAGGUAUGCUCUGCUCAGGCCUAUGGUCACCAUCCUGGUCUUUCCCCACCUCCCUCCUUCUGGUCCCCAUCCCUGCAGGCUGAGCUCCCCGAGUCCCAGCCUCACCUCUGGCAUGUCACUGGCAUCUGAGGUGCUCUCCAGCUCCAAGGAGGGUUCCAGGAGACUGAUGGACCUCAUGACCCCUCGGAGGUCGAUACGUGGCCGUGGCCCAGGCUCUUCCUUUGGGGCUGCCUGGCUCUCCUCCAUGCCCACAACCUUCUCCUCCCCACCACCCCCAGGUUCUGGCGGAAGAGGCGGGAAUGGUGUAGAGACUUCAGGGGCUGGGUGCUCCUCUGGGGAGACCCCACCCGCUUUCUGCUCCCAGACAUGGCUCUGGCGACUGUGAGGAGGUGGCCCUGAGUCAGCUCUGAGUGACCCAGCAGCCACACCCCACAAACCAACCUACUCACCCCAUCCCAUACCUGGCAGUCAGGAUGCCCUGGUAGACCUGCAGCUGGCGCAGGAAGCCGGGGUUGGGGCGGGCGAUGGGCCGGAGCCCCUGCACAUGGUGCAGGGCCUGCUCCAGGCUGCAACCAUACUGCUUCAUGGCAUAGGCCAGCACCGUGGCCGCCGAGCGGCUGACGCCCAUCUUGCAGUGGACCAGCACACGGGUGCCCUGCGCUCUGUGGAGGCAGGACAGGGUCAGCACCCUCCCCUCACCAUGAAGGACUCGCCUGCUGUGGGGGAUGGCAGGUAGAGGGCUCACAAGCAGCUGAGAGUAGAGAAGGAGGCAAGGACACUGGGGGCUGGAAGGAAUGGCAGAGUCGAUGGCAGAGUGGGCAAGAGGAGGGCACUGGGGGCCAAGGGAAACCACAGCGGGGCAGGCAGGGGAGACGGGGGGCUGACCUUGCGGCCUCAAUGAAGCGGUAUGUCUCCUUCCAGUGCGGCAGCAGCUGGGCCGACUCCUCAUCCCAGAGGCGCACGUUGUGCUCCUCCAGGUUUGCCGCAUUCCACUCCGAGCCCUAGGAGAGAGGGAGCAGCACAUUCUCCCUUUUCUCCAGCCUCUGCUCCUGGCACCCCGCUGCCCUCGCAACUGCCAGCAGUCCCCAUGGCCCAGGCCCAGCGGCAGCUCACCAGGUAGAGGUGGGGGAAGAUGCGGGAGGCCCGGUCCCGCUGUGCCACCAGCAGCAGCAUCUGGUUGUCUAUGAAGUCACGGUGCUGCUGGAGUGGGUGCCCCAGGCGCAGCUCCAGGGCCUGGCGGAUCUGCAGGCAGAGCCCAGGGCAGGAGAGGCUUGGGCUCUCCAAGUGCCUGACCCCCCACCUUCCCUCUGGGGCCUCUGAGGACAGCACCCUGUCCCAUCUAGACAGACUAGGGCCAAGGCCAAGGCACCCAGGAAUCGGUCAGGACUUGGCAAAGUGGGGAGGGCUCCCAGGAGAGACAAGCUUGCGGCCCCUGCUGGAGGGGACUUGCCCCAGGCCCCCUGCUCACCUCUUUGGAAGUGACGCUCUCCAGGUUGCUGGCAUCCAAUACUUGCCGCAGCUCAGCACGGAUCGCCUGCUCCAUCUGCUCCUGUUCUGAGGGCCUGGGAGCAGAGCCCCUCAGUCAGGGGCCCCUUCCCCUCUCUGCCAUGCCCCCCUGCUCCCCCUUGUCCUGCUUUCCCCUCCACCCAGGCCCUCCCCUCCCUGCACUGACCGGCCAGGCUCGGUGCUGGGAGGCCGCAGAGACUCUAGGUCAGCCAUAGCCGUCCACUCAUUGAGGCAGCUCUGGUUGGAGUUCAGUCUCUCCUGGUAGUGGCUGGCCCAGGUGAGGGCACUCCCACCGGGCACAAGGCCGCUGCCUAGAGCUGCCUCACAUGCCUGGUGCAAUACCUGGAGCGUGGCCCUGGGAUAGGAGGAGAAGCUGGGUCACUCUGUCCCCUGCUGCCUUCCCCAGGCCCUGCAGCCUUCUUAGAAAGAGAGGCUGGACCAAGUCCAGGCAGCGUCUGUCCUUACCACAUGGUCUGGAUGGAGAUGGGCUUGAAGAUCCGGCUCUGCCCACCAGACGUUACGAUGAAGCCCCUGCAGGAGAGCAGGUGCCGGUGAAGCCAGACUCCAGCCUCUGUGACAGAGAACCUGCCCUUUGGCCAGACACAGGGAGCUGAGGCCCGGGAGUCAGGUGCCUUGCUCAGGAUCACAGUGAAUCUGAGGUGGAGCUGGGAGCAGGUACCAGAGUCCCAGCCUAAAGUUCUACUAUACCCCGGUGCCCAGGCCCCAUCAUACCUGUCACACAUGGUAAUUCCACCCUCCUGCCCCCCGCUCUGGUUGCCAUUGCUUACCCAUCUCCAUCUAAGUACACCUGGGUGUCACUCCAGAGGGGCAAGACCAGGCCCAGGGUGCAGCUGGGGGAGCUGGCAGAGGACAGAGGGAGAGCCAUUGUACCCCGUCCCUCACCUCUGCCUCUCCCUUCCUCUCCCUGCUCGCACCUGCUGUCAGGGAAAUCCACACCCAGGAGGACCGUCUCAUCCUGGCUCAGGCCUUCUCCUUCUCGUGUAGAAACUACCAGCAGGUAGCGGAGCCGGGGAGGCCGAGCUGCCUCCAGCUGGGCUGCCUGGGGAGGAUGAGGAGCCCAGGGUCACAGUGGCCCCAAGGACCCUGCUCCCCACUUGGAUACCCCCAAGUCCAGAACAGCGCUGACCCUGCUCCCUCCUUUCCCAUCUCCCCUCUUUCCAGAUAUAAAAUCAGUGGCCAAAGAGGGACUGUGUGGAAAAAAGCAGGGAACGGGAGUGACGCAGUUUGCCCAUUUUUUAUUUCUGCCAAGGAUGGAGGUUGUUUUUGUUUUUGUUUUGAGACAGGGUCUCUGUUGCCCAGGCUGGAGUGCAGUGGUACUGUCACAGCUCACUGCAGCCCCAAACUCCCAGGCUCACGUGAUCCUCCCACCUCAGCCUCCCAAAGCUCUGGGGUCACAGCAGUGAGCCACUGUGCCCAGUAAGGAGGAGGUUUGGUUUUUUUAAACCCUGUUCGCUUGCCAGUGCUAUCGUUUCAUUCGAGAAAUGUUUAUCACCAAAGAAAUAUUGAGGAUGUACUCUCCCAAAAGGAGAUGAAGCUUCUGUUGUCAAUUCAGCUUUACAAAAGAUUCACUGCAUCUUGUUUGCCACGUCUGCUGCGGACAGUGAGCUGUCCCCACAAGCAUUUGGGCCCCGGUUCUGGCUCUACCUGGAUUCCCUUCCUCCAUGGGGCUGGAAUCUUCUUCCCAUCUGCCCAGCCCCUCCAGCACACCGCCCCCCAGUGGGUGUCCAGCAAGCCUGCCUUGGGCACUGGUCCCUUUCGGGACAGCUCAUGCCAUCAGGAACGUCCUCUACUGGUUGAGAAGAAACCUGCCUCUGUGGAA